rnacentral:tRNA from 1 species
GGGCGGGUGGUGAAAUGGCAAACACGUAGGCUUCAGGAGCCUAUGGCCGAAAGGCUUUGAGGGUUCAAGUCCCUCCUCGCCCACCA